GCCGGGUGUCGUGGUGCACGCCUGUAAUCCCAGUGGCGUGGGAGGCUGAGGCAGGAGGAUCACGAGUUUGAGGCCAGCCACAGCAAUUUAGCAGGCCUUAAGCAAUUUAGUGAGACCCUGUUUCAA
rnacentral:sRNA from 1 species